rnacentral:rRNA from 1 species
UACGUAGGGUGCAAGCGUUGUCCGGAAUUAUUGGGCGUAAAGAGCUCGUAGGCGGUCUGUCGCGUCUGCUGUGAAAACUCGGGGCUUAACCCCGGGCCUGCAGUGGGUACGGGCAGACUAGAGUGCGGUAGGGGAGACUGGAAUUCCUGGUGUAGCGGUGAAAUGCGCAGAUAUCAGGAAGAACACCCGUGGCUAAGGCGGUUCUCUAGUACGGUACUGACGCUGAGACGCGAAAGCGUGGGGAGCAAACAGG